GUUACUGCAUCUCCAGACGUUUAUCAAGCAAGUCUAGGGGCAGACUCAGAAUUUCUAGUGUUAGCAUAUGAUGGUUUAUGGGAUUACAUAAACAGUUCAGAUGCAGUUUCUUUUGUAAGGAAUCAGCUUCGACAACAUGGAGAUGUCCAGCUAGCUUGUUAUGCGCUUGCUGAAGCUGCUCUGGCAACAACUAAUUGAAUGGAUUGUGUUUAUUCUGACCAUAGCACUGGAUUAUGUCAGGAAAGUCCAAAAUGCUUGAAAUUUUGGUUGCUUGAAACUUUUUUUUUUUU